CUGAGUUUAAAUUAUUCAUUUGUUAUUACCAUCUCAAAAUACAAGAGCAAACCUGAAUUCAAUAUUAUCUUUAUAAAUUUAAAUGUGUGUGUUAUGAUACUGCCAACGAAUGAAGCAUGGAAUUUCCAAAACUUGUUCUACCUAAUUACGAAGGAGUAUUAAGUGACAGUACACUGUACAAUGAAACAUUCAAUUGAGUAUCGAAGGAGAAAUAAAAUUGAUUAAAUAAGAUUGUCAAGGGGUCCGUCAUAAACACACAUAAAUUAUCAGACGCAGGAACAUAAACAACGGCAAAUAAGUCAUGAACGUAUAUAGGAGACAAGACAAUGCUAAGGUUGUAAAUUCCGAGAUCC